rnacentral:rRNA from 1 species
AGGACGAACGCUGGCGGCGUGCUUAACACAUGCAAGUCGAGCGGUGAUCCUCCUUCGGGAGGUGAUCAGCGGCGAACGGGUGAGUAACACGUGGGCAACCUGCCCCUAGCUCUGGGAUAACUCCGGGAAACCGGUGCUAAUACCGGAUACGACCUCAUUAGGCAUCCUUUGAGGUGGAAAGAUUUAUCGGCUAGGGGAUGGGCCCGCGGCCUAUCAGCUUGUUGGUGGGGUAACGGCCUACCAAGGCGACGACGGGUA